CGGGUGAGUAACGCGUGGGUAACCUGCCUCAUAUCAGGGGGAUAGCAGCUGGAAACGGCUGGUAAUACCGCAUAAGCGCACAGUACCGCAUGGUACGGUGUGAAAAACUCCGGUGGUGUGAGAUGGACCCGCGUCUGAUUAGCUAGUUGGCAGGGCAGCGGCCUACCAAGGCGACGAUCAGUAGCCGACCUGAGAGGGUGACCGGCCACAUUGGGACUGAGACACGGCCCAAACUCCUACGGGAGGCAGCAGUGGGGAAUAUUGCACAAUGGGGGAAACCCUGAUGCAGCGACGCCGCGUGAGCGAAGAAGUAUUUCGGUAUGUAAAGCUCUAUCAGCAGGGAAGAAGAAAUGACGGUACCUGACUAAGAAGCACCGGCUAAAUACGUGCCAGCAGCCGCGGUAAUACGUAUGGUGCAAGCGUUAUCCGGAUUUACUGGGUGUAAAGGGAGCGCAGGCGGAAGGCUAAGUCUGAUGUGAAAGCCCGGGGCUCAACCCCGGUACUGCAUUGGAAACUGGUCAUCUAGAGUGUCGGAGGGGUAAGUGGAAUUCCUA
rnacentral:rRNA from 1 species